UCCCUGGUGGUCCAGUGAUUGAGACUCUGUCCUUCCAAGGCAAGAGCACAGGUUCAAUCCCUGGUUGGGGAA
rnacentral:tRNA from 1 species